ACCAGAUAAAAAAAACCUCUCUCACACAAAUCUCACCCCCACCGUACCCCUGGCUCUCGGUCGAGCUCCUCUCCCCCACGAUCUCGUCGCCGCCGCCACCACCACCCAUGCCGGCCGGUUCCGCCGAUCUCCGGCCGCAUGCAACAUGCCCCCAAGCUCCGCCCCGCCCUCCUCUCCGUCCAGAUCCAUGCCUCAAGGUCUGCACCCUUGCCCGCGGCUAGGGAUUCGGGCGCCCCCAUGUUCUUGCCGCCGAGUGCCCAGGUCGGCCCGCUGGCCAACGAGCAGCACACCGCACCUGCGCGUGCCCAGGCCGACGAGCAGUACGGGGACUGGCCGCGGACGGAGACGAGUGCAGGCGCGGUAGCAGGAGAAGCUGUGGCGGCGGCGGAUCUGGUGACCGCCGGGUCGGCUCGUCGUUCGUGGCCGGCCGGAGUCGCGAUGAGGCGCUGUCGUCCGUGGAUUCCGGUGGAUGGCUGACGUCCAAUUGCUCUUGGACGCUGUUGCAGCUGCUCGUUUCUGAAUUUUCAGUAAUGCGGCUAGCUAUGCCAAGUGCGUUUUCUGAAUUUUCCAGUCCGCGCGAUUGUGAUUCUCGUGUUGCUGAUAGCUUGGAGUAGUCGGUUCCCGUCCAUCUACUACUCGUGACUGGGAAGGAAGGAUCAUGUCGCUGAUAGUUCAGUAGGGAACACAUGGACAUGAAGCUGCGGCGGCAACAAAGACGAUAUCGACAUGGGGCUGCGGCGACGAUGAUGACGGCGACAUCGACAUCGACACAGGGCUACGGCGGCGACGAAGACAACGACAUCGUCAUGGUGCUGCGGCGGCGGCGGCGACGACGUCGACAUCAACACCAUCAACACGGCCUUGUGGAGGCGCCGAUGCCGACGACAUAGACGUGUGGCAUAUAUUGUGUGUGUGUGUGCGCGCAUGUGUGCGUGUGCAUGUGUUAAUUAUCUACAUCAGAUAUGUAUGAUUGAUGAUUGACUGUAUGCAUAGCAUGUACGUAUUGUGAAAUGCAUGUCUAAACUGAAAUAGG